CUCUCCAAUUCUCGUUAGGCCAAAUCAUUAGGCCAAAAGCCACCUCCUUCUUCUCUGGCCCUCCAAGAAAUUGAGAUGCCCGAGGGAGAGGGGCAAAUGAGAGGUAUAAAGGUUCUUCUCUUUCUACUGAUAUUUAUAUUAAUAUCAGAACUUUAAUUGCUUAAUUUCCCAAAUAUGCUAUCCCUAUAUAGAGUAAAAAUAGAGUAAAAACAAAGGAUGCUUCACAUCUUUUUGUAAUUAUUUUUUUCUUUCAACAUCAGAGAGUAGCUCCCACUACAGUCCCACUAUAGUCUCCAAAAUUAGAGUCAUGAUAUGAAACAGCUGAUAAAAGCACCAAGACAACUUAAACUAAUUACAAUUUGCAGGUAGAGUGGUAAUUGCACUUCUGACUGCCUAAAUUGGGCAUACAAAUGCAUGGUUGCAUUUGUAUAGAGACUCUCAUAGAAUAGUCUGUGCCAGCUGAAAAUUCAGCCCUAAAUAGUGCUUUCGUAUACUGAUGGGAGAGAGCAGGUUUCUGGCUCGGCGCUUCAAAACCAGUCCCAAGGCAAAGAACAUGGCAUCAGUUUGCCACCACCCUUCCAAUGUCAGCUGCACGGAGCAUUCAGCCAACAUUUUAAGCUCUCAACAGCUUUUGUGUUUUUAAAGUACGUUCUAGCUAGCCCCUGUUUUGUCUCUGAUGGCUGGCUUUCAGAGGUUGUAAACAUCCAUCUCACAGUGGAGUUUUCAGUUCCUAUUUUUGAAGCAGCAACUAUUUUUCUGCAAAAUACAGGUCAAGCCAUCCCGUUGAAUCUACAACACAUUCACAAACAGGUGCUCUCAAGCAGCUGUAAUUUCUCUACCUUUUCUCUUUGAACAAAAACCUGUAAAAGAUUAAUUAUCUUAGUCCAUAAAUGCUUUAAUAGCUUCCAGUGAUUUUAUAAAUUAUAGGUAUAGAUUUGUGAAAGGCUGGAUUUGCACAAGCCCAGGCUAAGCUAAGAAGUCCCCAUGAUUCAGAUAUCAACAGAAGAGUUUGGUUUCAGCCAGUGUUCCAGGCUUCCUGCAGGCUCAUGGCCAAUUGCUGCCUUCUUAGCAUCCCAGUGGUUUCUUUUUGUUUCAUU